GGCUUGAUUGGGUUAACAUCAACUUGCCUUCGUCUCUUUUUGUCUCCCCUAUGUCUUUUAUUUAAUCCCCGUUUCUCCUCCAGGAGUUCCGAACUUGUUGAUCUGCAGGCCGGAUCAAGUGGCGCUCAGCGUGGGAGCCCCUGGCACGGAGAAGUUAACGAGGGAGCCGUUCGAGAGACAGCCGGCUUAAACCGAAAGUGAAAGCAAAUUGAACCAGAGACCUCGGCAGAGGAAUGAGUAAACUGAAUCAAGGAUUAAAGUUUAAAGCAACAGGACAUUAAAUCAAGUGCCGAGACCUGCGCAGACGACUACCCGACGUCCUGCCCGAGUCACGGAAUAAUGUUAUUUCCUGAGGCACAAUCCCCUGUGUUCUCUUACAGGUGACACAUCUCCUUGGAGCCUUAUGCUGCUUAACCAGCCUUCUUGAGCCACACCACACCCAUGGUGGAUUUUGACCCCUGCCAAACAGACUGCAACUGCUGACAGCCAUGCACAGAACCCCAUGACUGCGGAAGAGGCUCUUCUCGGUCUGGAGGAACGCCAGCCAAAUAGACUGCAUCCAGUGUUAUACAAGGCAUGCUCCAAGACACAGGAGAAUGACUUCAUACAGAGACACCAACAAAUGACUGUCAACCCCUUCUCCUUGAUUUUGGGGGGGGGAGUUUUUCCCUUACCUAGUCCCACUUUUGGGUCCCCUAGCUGACCUAUUGUUUCUCAUUUCUGUGAGUCUUGUAUUUUUCAGAGGAUUAUGAUGUUCAUUAAUAACCGGAUAGACGCAUUUAUGGCAAAGCCCAUUCAGGUACACUACCAUCAGCUGGAGAUGACAGAUCAACAAACCUACAGGGAAGGAAUUCCCACGAGUGGCCCAUAUGAUGAUGCGGCCUGACUGCCCUGGGGCAAUGGACAGGCAGUCAGAGACGGGCAACUAGGACAUGCAUGUUAAUUCCAACAGCCACCUAAGACAGGCACAGGACCAACUGCUGUUCUGCAAGCCCAUGACGGGUAAGGCCUGGUUGGGUUCAUGCAAUGAGGUCCUUGACCUAAGACAGAUGCUGUCCUCACAGGGCCUGCCAUACUCUUAAUUAAAUAAUAUAAAAAGGGAGGAGAUGUAGGGAGCCGAGUGACAGGCAUUGCUGCCUAGAUGUCUCUCUCUCUCUCUCCUAUGGGCACUACGUCUGCCUACAUUAACCAUAAUCCUCUUCUGCUUACGUCACUUAUCCGGAUGUGAUGGUAACCCUGUUGUAUUCAUCUGUUUAACCUCUUCCUGUCCCAGCUCCCGCCCUUAGCCUAUAAAAGGUGUGAUUAUUUUCUCAAUAAACCGGAGGCUUGAUUGGGUUAA